CAAAGCUUAGCAGUGUCACAGAAGACCGUCUGUUGGAUGAACUCGCCAAACAAAAGGUUGGAGUGGUGAGAAAAUUGUGUAAAGCCUGCAACAUCGACUCCAAAGGCUCCCGCUCUGAUCUCAUCACCAGACUGAGGGAGAAGAUGAAGAGCAGGCAGACAUAUGAUAAGGUCUUUCAAAGCAUAUGGGGUGCCUCUGGAGGAUGGUCUGUAAUACUAUGUCCACAUGGCAUUGUAUACAGUGUUAAAUUUAAUCUUCGUGCUGAAAGUCCCCGGGAUUUUGCUGAA